rnacentral:lncRNA from 1 species
CUUCCGAGCUAAGACCAAAUUAAAACAGUUUCAAAAGAGACGAAAUUUACUAUAUUACAGUUACACUAUAUCAUCAAUAAUUAACCAUUUAUAUUUUUUCUUUUAAUACACAGUAUAAUAAAAAUAUUUUUUAAUAAUUAUGAUGGACCUGAUGAAUUAAAAAAAAAAUUAAUAUAAACAUCAUAUCAACAAUAUAACUUAUGUAUUUUAAAUUUUUUUCUCAAAAAGGCUAAAAGGACGAAACUGUCCUUGUGGCCCCGCCGACCAUUUCACGUUGACCACUGUAGAAUAAAUAAAUAAAUAAAUAUAUAAAUGCAUAAAUAAAUGUAGUGUGGUUAAUUCGCUCCCCAAUGAGUGAGCGUGUUCGGUUCGGUCCAAACCAUAUGUAGGUCCUGGUCAAUUUCAUGGUACCAAAAAUUAAAUUGAGUUAGGUUAAAAACUCAGGUUUGAUUUGUCAGUUUAAAUACUUAUUUUUAAAUUUUAUUAAAAUUUUAAUUUAUUAAGUGAUAUUUGAAAAGUCAAAAAAGUAUGAAAUUUAUUUGAAUUAUGGAUCGUUUGGAUUUGAUUACCUCACCUUUCAAAAUUUUGAUUUAAUUAUUCAACUGUUUAAUUUAUUCGAUUUCAAUUAGCAAACGAUAUUUUGACUCAGAUUUUGAAAUCAAAGUUUCGUUGACUGACUCAAGUGAAAAAAAAAUAAAAAUUUUG